rnacentral:tRNA from 1 species
GCCUGGGUAGCUCAGUCGGUAGAGCAUGAGACUCUUGGUCGUGGUUUCGAGCCCCACUUUGGGCG